rnacentral:rRNA from 1 species
CAAGUCGAACGGUGAAGGUGGAGCUUGCUCCGCCGGAACAGUGGCGAACGGGUGAGUAACACGUGGGCAAUCUGCCCCUAACUCUGGGAUAACUACUCGAAAGAGUAGCUAAUACCGGAUACGAAAUCUGAGGACAUCCUCGGAUUUGGAAAGUUUUUCGGUUAGGGAUGAGCCCGCGGCCUAUCAGCUAGUUGGUGGGGUAGUGGCUCACCAAGGCGACGACGGGUAGCCGGCCUGAGAGGGCGACCGGCCACACUGGGACUGAGACACGGCCCAGACUCC